AGUGAACGCUGGCGGUAGGCCUAACACAUGCAAGCCGAACGGCAGCACAGGAGAGCUUGCUCUCUAGGUGGCGAGUGGCGGACGGGUGAGGAAUACAUCGGAAUCUGCCCAGUCGUGGGGGAUAACGUAGGGAAACCUACGCUAAUACCGCAUACGACCUUCGGGUGAAAGAGGGGGAUCGCAGGACCUCUCGCGAUUGGAUGAGCCGAUGUCGGAUUAGCUAGUUAGCGGGGUAAUGGCCCACCAAGGCGACGAUCCGUAGCUGGUCUGAGAGGAUGAUCAGCCACACUGGAACUGAGACACGGUCCAGACUCCUACGGGAGGCAGCAGUGGGGAAUAUUGGACAAUGGGCGCAAGCCUGAUCCAGCCAUACCGCGUGGGUGAAGAAGGCCUUCGGGUUGUAAAGCCCUUUUGUUGGGAAAGAAAUCUUUCAGGCUAAUACCCUGGGAGGAUGACGGUACCCAAAGAAUAAGCACCGGCUAACUUCGUG
rnacentral:rRNA from 1 species